rnacentral:snRNA from 1 species
GUGCCUCAAUCUAUUGAGUAAGGAAAUUAUUGGGCCUUGGUAACUCUCGGCUAUGCCCACUGGGCGACCUAAUUUUUGAAGGGUACAGGUCGUCCCUUUGAGCCGUGCGCCUACUUUGCACGCGGCUUGGGUGAAGCGAUCUGCCCU